rnacentral:rRNA from 1 species
GAUGAACGCUAGCGGCAGGCUUAAUACAUGCAAGUCGAGGGGGAUUAGCUGGGUAGCAAUACCCGGCUAUGAGACCGGCAAACGGGUGCGGAACACGUACGCGACCUUCCCAAAACUGGUGAAUAGCCCUCCGAAAGGAGGAUUAAUACACCGUAACAUAAUGAGAUGGCAUCAUUUUAUUAUUAUAGCUUCGGCGGUUUUGGAUGGGCGUGCGCCUGAUGAGGUAGUUGUCGGGGUAACGGCCAACCAAGCCUCCGAUCAGUAACUGGUGUGAGGGAACGACCAGUCACACGGGCACUGAGACACGGGCCCGACUCCUACGGGAGGCAGCAGUAAGGAAUAUUGGUCAAUGGACGAAAGUCUGAACCAGCCAUGCCGCGUGAAGGAGGACGGCCCUCUGGGUUGUAAACUUCUUUUAUCUGGAACGAAAAAAGAUCAUUCCUGAUCACUUGACGGUACCAGAGGAAUAAGCACCGGCUAACUCCGUGCCAGCCGCCGCAGUAACAC